rnacentral:rRNA from 1 species
GAUGAACGCUGGCGGCGUGCCUAAUACAUGCAAGUCGAGCGAUCGGACGAGAAGCUUGCUUUUCUGAUGUUAGCGGCGGACGGGUGAGUAACACGUGGAUAACCUACCUAUAAGACUGGGAUAACUUCGGGAAACCGGAGCUAAUACCGGUUAAUAUUUUGAACCGCAUGGUUCAAAAGUGAAAGACGGUCUUGCUGUCACUUAUAGAUGGAUCCGCGCUGCAUUAGCUAGUUGGUAAGGUAACGGCUUACCAAGGCAACGAUGCAUAGCCGACCUGAGAGGGUGAUCGGCCACACUGGAACUGAGACACGGUCCAGACUCCUACGGGAGGCAGCAGCAGGGAAUCUUCCGCAAUGGGCGAAAGCCUGACGGAGCAACGCCGCGUGAGUGAUGAAGGUCUUCGGAUCGUAAAACUCUGUUAUUAGGGAAGAACAUAUGUGUAAGUAACUGUGCACAUCUUGACGGUACCUAAUCAGAAAGCCACGGCUAACUACGUG